rnacentral:rRNA from 1 species
CGCCAGCCCGCUCAGAAACUCAAAGGAAUUGACGGGGCCCGCACAAGCGGUGGAGCAUGUGGUUUAAUUCGAUGAUACGCGAGGAACCUUACCUGGGCUCAAAUGUAUGUUGACGUAUUCUGAAAGGGAUACUUCUUCGGACAAUAUACAAGGUGCUGCAUGGUUGUCGUCAGCUCGUGCCGUGAGGUGUCGGGUUAAGUCCCAUAACGAGCGCAACCCCUAUCAUUAGUUGCCAUCAGGUCAAGCUGGGGACUCUAAUGAAACUGCCUACGCAAGUAGUGAGGAAGGUGGGGAUGACGUCAAAUCAGCACGGCCCUUACGUCCAGGGCUACACACGUGCUACAAUGGCCGGUACAAAGGGCAGCUACCUGGUGACAGGAUGCUAAUCUCAAAAGCCGGUCUCAGUUCGGAUCGGAGUCUGCAACCCGACUCCGUGAAGUUGGAUUCGCUAGUAAUCGCGCAUCAGCCAUGGCGCGGUGAAUACGUUCCCGGGCCUU